UACGGAGGGUGCUAGCGUUGUUCGGAAUCACUGGGCGGAAAGGGCGUGUAGGCGGUCUGUUAAGUCUGAUGUGAAAUCCCCUCGCUCAACGAGGGAACUGCGUCGGAUACUGGCAGACUCGAGUACCGGAGAGGAAGGUGGAAUUCCCGGUGUAGCGGUGAAAUGCGUAGAGAUCCGGAGGAACACCAGUGGCGAAGGCGACACGCUGGGCCGUACCUGACACUGAACCGCGACAGCAUGGGGAGCAAACAGG
rnacentral:rRNA from 1 species